UGGGGAAUUUUGGACAAUGGGCGAAAGCCUGAUCCAGCCAUGCCGCGUGAGUGAUGAAGGCCUUCGGGUUGUAAAGCUCUUUUGGCGGGGACGAUGAUGACGGUACCCGCAGAAUAAGCCCCGGCUAACUUCGUGCCAGCAGCCGCGGUAAGACGAAGGGGGGCUAGCGUUGUUCGGAAUUACUGGGCGUAAAGCGAGUGUAGGCGGUUGCCGUAGUCAGGUGUGAAAGCCUUGAGCUCAACUCAAGAAAUGCACUUGAUACUGGGUGACUAGAGGACCGGAGAGGAUAGUGGAAUUCCCAGUGUAGUGGUGAAAUACGUAGAGAUUGGGAAGAACACCAGUGGCGAAGGCGGCUAUCUGGACGGUUACUGACGCUAAGACUCGAAAGCGUGGGGGAGCAAAACAGGAUUAGAUACCCUGGUAGUCCACGCCGUAAACGAUGGGUGCUAGACGUUGGCGAGCUUGCUCGUCAGUGUCGCAGCUAACGCGUUAAG
rnacentral:rRNA from 1 species